rnacentral:rRNA from 1 species
GACGAACGCUGGCGGCGUGCCUAACACAUGCAAGUCGAGCGGGGAUUUAAGUGGAAGUUCUUCGGAAUGGAGAUUUAAAUUCUAGCGGCGGACGGGUGAGUAACGCGUGAACAAUCUGUCCCGGACAGGGGGAUAACACUUGGAAACAGGUGCUAAUACCGCAUAAGACCACGGCCUCGCAUGGGGCUGAGGUAAAAGGAGCAAUCCGGUUCGGGGUGAGUUCGCGUCCGAUUAGCUAGUUGGUGAGGUAACGGCCCACCAAGGCGACGAUCGGUAGCCGGCCUGAGAGGGUGAGCGGCCACAUUGGAACUGAGAGACGGUCCAAACUCCUACGGGAGGCAGCAGUGGGGAAUAUUGGGCAAUGGGCGAAAGCCUGACCCAGCAACGCCGCGUGAGGGAAGAAGGUUUUCGGAUUGUAAACCUCUGUCCUAUGGGACGAAGGAAGUGACGGUACCAUAGGAGGAAGCCCCGGCUAACUACGUG